UCCGCCGCAUCUGCCCAUUUUGGCGGGCUCGUCCGGGGAGUCGAGCAUCUCGUCGUCCCAAGCGACGGCGCUCUGCCGCGAGUCCCGGCGGGCAAGGCCGCGCCGAUCUGAGUGCGCUACUGCUGGCCGCCGCUUUCUCCAUGGAACGUUCCCACCGCACGUCAGGCAUGUAGAAUCCGUGUCUGAGUCUGAUAAGAGGUGUACUAAUUGAUGUCCUGGUCUGCGUCCGUGUGCGUCGUGCAGGUAGAAUCCGUGUCUGAGUCUGAUAAGAGGUGUAAUAAUUGAUGUCCUGGUCUGCAUCCGUGUGCGUCUCGGUCUCUUCUUCAUGGCGGUGGCAGCGCUGCUGCUGUUGCUGGUAUCCCUUGCGGCGAACACGACGGCCUCGCCGGACAGGGAGAGCAAGUCGGGGGGGAAUCGGAGGAUGCUGAAGUUGUACGAACGGGUCAUGGUGGAGUGGAAGGCAGGGCACGGCAAGAACAUCAGGAACGAGGAGGAGACUCGGCGGGUGUUUGCUUAGUGGAUGGUCGAGUACGGCAAGAAGUACAGCUCCGCUGGCGAGGAGGAUCGUCGUUACGCUUUAUUCAAGGACGAGCUCCGCAGGGUCGAUCUGCUCAAUGCCGCCUUCAAUGCCGCCUUCGGUCCCAACCCAAUUUACGGCAUCAACUUCCUCAGCGACAUCACCGAUGAGGAGUGGAGAUUCUUGAGCCAGGGAGCGUUGCCAUAUGAAUCAACAAAACCUAUUUCACAAGAUCUUCAGCGACGUCAGGAGUGGAGAUUCUUCACCCAAGGAGUUGCCAUAUGAAUCAACAGAACCUAUUCCACGUAGAGAUGUUUAUAGUUACUAUAUAUAGAUGAACAAGUGCACGUGAACUUAUGCUUCCAGUCUAUAUUUACCAUGGUAGGAUAUGUUUUGGCUGAUUGUAAAAUAGUAUUCUAUUAGAGUUCAUUAUAACACUAGUAGAAAAAGGACCUAUU